GCAUUUUUUGGACUAAUUGGGAUUAGCACCUUAGCUUCUUCAUAGUCUAGUUGUGAAGAUUUGGCUAUGCCUCGUUUUUUUACAAGCAUAUUGUUAACUGUUAAGUGCUCAUCAGAGUUUAUGAGAUAUUAGGGCCCCCAUUUCCCCUUUUGUAGCUAUAGGAAAAUGUAGAAGCUAAGGCAAUGGAAGAGGAGCUGUUGGACACAUUAUUCCACAAUAUAAAGUGACAUGAACAGCUACUUUUCCGCGUUUAAAUCAGAUUCCUUCUCUCUCUUCCCACGCGAACACAAAGUACAGUUUUACAGAUACAGUCUAUAAAUACAAACAAAACAGCCUUACAACCCGCCAAGACCUCAGCCAACCCAAUUAGCUUUCCAUUUCUCUUCUUUCCUCUUUCUUAGUUCAUAGCUAUCCCUCUUCCCUUCCAUACCCUGAAAUGUCUGAUUUUAGUCAUUUCUGUGUUUCUGUUCUGAAUGGAUGAUGAUCUUGUUGGUCGGUUGGAAGCUGUUGUGAGAUAAGGAAAAGGAUUUAGGUGUGAUGGUGAGUAACUGUAGGUUCUUAAAGUCUCUGUUUGGAGCUUUUCUCUUUCUUGGUGUCAUCUGGUUUUCUUUUAUUGGAGUGAUUGAUAAUGCUAGCCCAGCAUCCAGAAGAGCGACAGACGUGCAGUGGAAGAUGAUUGGAAGAGGGAAGCAUGUCUUUCAUUGGCAUUCUGAUUUUUAUUCUGUCAGCAAGAGAAGAGUACCAAAUGGACCUGAUCCAAUCCAUAACAGGAGAGUAGGAAACUCUAAACAGCCACCAAUUCGAGCCUAAACAAAUCCUGGAGAUGGAUCAGCUGCAGAAAAAGAUGAGAAAUGAACAGUUAUUUUUUUCCUUUACCUGUAAAUGUUCAUCUUUGCUCUCCAUCAAGGAUAGAUCCUGCAUUGAGACUUUUGUCCCUGAAAGCACUGACAUGGCUACUGUUCUUAGUGGGUUCUUGGGAGUAGAAAAGAAAGAGAUUUUGAAUAACUUUCCCAGAAAAUUCUCAGCUGUUGCUAGUCAUCAUUUAUUUGAUCUCAGAUGCAAAGUGUUUGUUUCUUUCCUCGGAAUUUGAAGAUUUUAUAAUGUUCCUUGUCGUUCAUGCAUAACUUGAAUUUUCCAUUCAUAUCUUUCUUUGUUUUUUUCUCCCCAUUGUCACAUCCUUAAAAAAAAGUAGAAAAUGAUUGAUUCUGGUAAUCGAUAAAUUGAUCAUCCAUUAUCUCGGAA